CCCACAGCCAACGGGCUUUGAUUGCCAAACCCCAGGAGAUGCUGCCCAUUUUCAAUGAAACUCACCCUUGGGCUGAGCUCAUUUCGGUACCCCUGAAGAGUGAAAGGAUUGUGCAAGGAAUGAGGUUUGGAGAAAUCCAUUCAUUUAUUUCCCCAUCUGAAAUCUUCAAACGCCUGUGGCAGCUGGGGAUGCAGGAAAGGGAGCACUACAAAUUCCACUUGCAGGCUGGGACUCCAGUUUAAAUUCUGAAGUUGCAGUAGGAGAAUGCUAUGUACAGCUGUGCAACAUUGAAAUGAUGUGGGGAUGCUGUAAACAGAAAACACAGUGCAUGUUUUAUAGACAUUACAGUCAUUUAUAACAGCAUCAACAAAACCUGCAGGGUUCUGAGUGUCUCAUUCAAGGCAGGAAGAAUCUGAAAAACUGGGUGAUACAAUUAAUUCUCCCAGCCAAUAGAAUGGAAACUGGCUCAGGUGAAAAAUCACCAAGGCUGAAUUUGGAUCAGGACAAGGAUAGGGAAUGGAGUAGGUUUUGAGAUGUCCCUGCCUAUAGCAGGAGGGCUGGAACCAGAUGAUCUUUAAGGUCUCUUCCCACCCAAACCAUUCUAUGAUGCUAUGUUUCUGUAUUCACCAGCCAAGAUAUUUGUUAAGACUUAGCCUGGAGCAGUUCUUCUCAGCAGCUGCAGCUUUAGUGCUUAUGAUACAGGGAAUAGACUAAUCUCUGUUAUCACAGCAAUAAAACCAGCAUGUGGCACAGUGGUUCCAGACCCAGUUACAUGAAGACUGCUCUUGGAAGCUCUAUGAAAAGAUGGAUAUCUUGUGGCUCAUUCUCAGGUGGUGAUGCAAUGGCACAGCUGCCCAAGGAGUGGUGGAGUCACCAUCCCUGGAGGUGUUCCAGAACUGUGGAGAUGUGGCACUGAGGGACGUGGUCAGUGGGCAUGGUGGGAUGGGUUGGAUUUGGUGAUCCGAGAGGUCUUUUUUCCAGCCUUUAUGUUUCUAUGAUGAUAUUUCAUUCUUGCAUGCGUUGCACCAAAGCAGUUCUCUCUCGUGAGCACAAGAAUUUCAAGGCAGCUCUGUUGGGUCCUUAAUCUGCACCAUGGCCUUUAAAUCCAAGUAGGAUGGACUCCGUUGUGAUGGCUGUUGCUCAAAAACUGUCACGUGUUACCUGACAGCAGCUGUGGCUGUUCUCCUCCCAUACCUCCUCCCCUCACUCCCUGCCAGAAAAGAGAGUUUUACUGGAAAAGCAAAAUGCAAGAGAUCUCUUGUCUCAAAACCUCAGUGAACUAUUUUGCUGGCAUCACGUCUGGCAUCUUAUUUAUGUGGUCCUGAAAAAGGGGAUUUUUUUUUUGAAAACUGUGAAGAUGGGCAAGCACCAAGCUGGGAAUGGGAUGGAGACCACAAGAGGGUUUUCCUGGAGAGGAACUGAUGGAUGGGAAGAAAGUUUCUAAUGUGGUUCAAAGGGGAGCCAUUGUGACCCUCUUGCAAAACAUGUGUAAUAGCUCUGACUAAAGAAGAGCAGGGAGUUGAUGAUUGCUGUAGAUAUCAGAGAUAAUGACACUACAGAAGUGUUUUCAUAAACAAACAAACAAAAAAAAGCCAAAUUUAAGAGCUAAAAAGGGUUGCAUACAAUGAUGCACAGUUCAAGGAUGUGCACCGAGGGGACGAAACAAAAUGUUUAUCUAAAAGAGUAGAAAUUAUAGUUUGGAAGUAAUGGAAGAAAGCGUGGGUGCAUGGGAUAUCUACAAUGCAAGUAACUGAGCAUGUGGGAAAAUGUCAUUUUACUGAGCAAGGAGUUUCUAUGCCUUGUAAGCUGGGUUACGUGGCUUGGCCAUAAGUUCUUAGCAGCAAUAACACCUUCACCUGGGACUUCAUCUACUCUGCAGAUGGUUUGUAUGGGUAGAUCCCAUAACAAGGCUUCCCUGGCUUCCUGAAGAAGGUGCUGGUAACAGAGCUUGAGCAGAAACAAACUCUGCAGUUCAGGGUCUAGGCAAGGGUUGUGGGUUUUUAUUUUGUUUUUAUGGAAGGAGUGGCUUUUUGUUUGUUCCUUUUUAUGGCAGCGGGGGGGUUGGAACCAGGUGAUCUUUGAGGUCUCUUCCAACCUAAGCGUUCUAUGAUUCUACAAGCUGAGCUCUUGCAAGAGAGGAGCUGCCACGUCAACCCCACCUCCCAAAGCAGACACCACCUGGUGAUCACUAUUAUUUUUUCUUCCUGCUAUGAGACAGAUGCCCCAAAGAGGAAUCUAUAAACCCCCCGAGGAGAGCUGCUUGAAGCUUAAAUAAUGCUUUUGGGCAGCAGUUCCCACAGGCAGAAUGGCUGCAGAGGACUCCACAGGAAAGGCAGCAAGAUAGCUCCCUAGGAGUGGCAGGGAAAAGAGAUUACAGAUAUUUCCUCUGUUUGUUACUCAAACAAUAUAGAGACUUUGCUUCUCUCCUAGCAGCACUGCAGAGCUGCCCCUAUUCAUGUGCAGUGUGCACCCUGCUGUCCUCAGUCCCCAGCUGUCCCGUGGGGACAGCACUGAGCAGGGAUAAAGGACAGGAGAGACAUGGAGCUGUGGGGUGGAACACCUCCCCUUUAGAUUGGACAUAAGGAAAAUGUUUUUUAUGAUAAGGACAGCAAGGCAGUGGCACAGGUUGCCCAGAGAGGUGGUGGGUGCACCAUCCCUGCAGGCACCCAAGGUCAGGCAGGAUGGUGCUCUGAGCACUGAUGGAGCUGUGGGUGUCCCUGUCCAGCGAAGGGAGUGGGACCAGAUGGCCUAUAAGGGUCCCUUCCAACUGAAACCAUUUUAUGAUUCUAUGAAGAUGGCUGCAAUGGUUGCGCUUCCAGACAGGUAAAAUGGCUGUGCUGUUCCUCCUACCUGUUUUUCACUCUCAGUCUGGUCCCACAAGUCCUCUGACCCUCACUGCCCACAUCCUUUGCACGAGUGGGUAGAAACUGGCACAGGUUGGAGUACAUCAGGAGUCUGUUUUCUUUUCUUUUCUUAGAAAAUCUCAACUUGUCCAAAAGAAAAUUAAAACAAAAAUGGUUUGUUAUGCUAUGGGAGCACUUCUGAUCCAAGGCAGAAGUGAAGGCCGUCCUCCCUCUCCAGCCCUUGAUCACCUCUGCUGCUGGAGCACUCGCUGGACACCAAGCUUCAAGUCCUACACCCAAACCCAGCAGAUGUCCAGGGCCACUGCAGCAAACACACCACCUCAAUCAGUGCUUCAACACUGCUUUAUCCUAUUUUAGACAUUUUCCACAACUGUGUCCCUCUAAGGAUGCUGCUACUGUCCCAUUGGGGACAGCAUGCAAGGCUUGGAGAGCUGUGGUUUACCUAAAUCAACAAUAAUAUCCUUGGAGUCUCCAAUUCUUUGCCUGCUCAAAGGGAGAAUGUCAUUUUGUACAUAAGGUGCUCUUGCUUUAAUCUUUGGUUAUGUUUAAACUUAAAAUGGGAUUUAUUUAUUUUUUUUUUAGAUUGUUGUAUUGAAUUUACUAGGGAGCUCAUGCUCCGUAGAAGGCAUCACAGUUCCUAUGAUUCAGUGAUCAUAGAAUCAAAGAACGGCCUGGGUUGAAAAGGACCACAAUGAACACCUCAUUUCAACCCCCCUGCUAUGUGGAGGGUCGCCAACCACCAGACCUUGAAGCAUGGAAUAAAAUGAAGGGUAGAUCACACCUCAGCCUUCCGAUCUGUAAAACGGGCAGAAAACUGACUGUGCUCUCCAUCUUCCGGGGCUGCAUUGUGCUCCAUUGCAAAGAGCUUCCCAGUUGGGCAUUGCCAAGGCUGCAACUGCUCGGAAAUAAAACCUUUCAGCAAAACUGAAAUUCCUCUUGGAAAAAAAAAAAAAAAGUAAAAUAAAAUAAAAUCAAUUAAUUUUCUAGGAAGGGAAUAAAAAUGCAUCAAAUGGUCUCUCUGGGAGAAUGGUUGGGUGGUUGGGUUUCUCCUGCCCGCCUGACUGUCCGGCUCCGUAUUUCGUCUGCUUUUAUUUAGGCUUGAGAUCAGUUUUCUGCAAUAUUGAGAGCAGCUCCUGCUCUAAUGAAACACCUUAUCUGCUCAUCCGAGGUGAGUCUCACUGCUGGAAGGGAAUUGUUUGACACAUUGGAUUAAAUGGUAAAAGAAGCUGUUUCACUCAAUACUAAUUAGAGUAGCACUGAGUGUAAAUUAAAAGAAAGAGAGAAGCUGAUCUCUCUUAGAGAAGCUCAACACCCAGACAGCUUUAAAGGAGCCAAGAAGGAUAAUUUCUGAACUUUAUUUUUUUUCAGGACUCCUAUUUUUCUAAGAGUCUGUAAUUCUGGAUCACUGUUUUCCACAGAAUUGGACUUUUCAGCAAAAAGGAAUUUCUGGGUUUUGCCCAGUGGUAACUGCAGCGUGCAGGCACUGCUGUUAAUUUUCAUGUUCUCCAGGGAUCCUGCAGUUUACAAUGGUGUUUAGUGUGUCUGUGGAAAUUCGUGAAGAAUAAGAGCUACGAUCACAGUGUUGCCACCAAGUAAACGUUAUUGUGAACGCAUCUCAGUCCUGAGUCUCAGUUCAACCACAAAGGGGGUGGUGAGGCCCCAGCACUGCUGCCCAGAGGUGUUGUGGGUGCCCCAUUCCUGGAGGUGCCCAAGGCCAUGGAUGGGGACCUGAAAAGCCUGAGCUGGUGCCUGAUUUAGUGAAUGGCAGCCCUGCCCAUGAUCUUUGAGGUCUCUUCUAACCCAAGCUAUCCUAUGAUUCCAUGAUUCUUUGAUUUGUAUGUGCUGCCUUUGUCCCCAAACCAGGAGAGAAGCAAAUCUCCAGUUUCACAGCUCCAAAGCUGAUGUGUGAGUUCAACCACCAUGGCCUUCACUCUUUGCCUUUGUCCAGACAUCAGCAAACCACUCACUGCUAAGAAAUUGUCCUGUUUUGUUGCCCCGCUUCCCGUGAGGGUUUGACUAGACAGUGUUUACAUUGAACAUCCCAUACUGCAGGCUGUACCUUUGCCUUAUUGCUGUGCAAUAGAGACAAGGCACUUUAUCACCUACUCACUUAAGAUGGAAGUGAAUUUCUGAGCUGAAACAGCCAGCCUGUUUGCAGUAGCAUAUCACCCACACAAAUGAAGCCAAGCCUGUCUUUCCCUUCUUCCAUGUCUCCAAUAGAUGGCAUUCGUGGUCCCUUCUCUGUUAUUUUGGGACCACCAGGCCACAAAGCAAACAAAGUCAAACCAACUACAGCCAAAGCCUGCCAUACCACUGUGCAAACUCCUGCAGAAGGUGAAUUGCACCUUGAAACUCCUGCAGGUGAGGUGGGAACUCAACUCAGAGCUUUCUCCUGCCUGAUGGAUGUGCCAGGGUCUGGAAACCAGGCAUUUUCCUUGCAAAGCCAUCUCUGAGCUCAAAAUCCAUGCUUCCUCAUUUUGAAGCAAGAUCAUAUAUUCAAAUACAAUUUAUUUUCUUCCUCUAUUUAAAUCUGCAAGGACAGAUCAUUUGUUCUUCCCACACACUCCAUCCUUGCAAAGCAGGGACGAGUGAAAAUAAAUAAAAGUAGUGUAUUUCUGGAAGUACACUUCUUAUAACAGCCUGCAGUGCUCACCCUGUCUCAGACACGACCUACAGUAGGUGAAAAGUAGUCAAAAAGCAGUGGAGGACUGGAAGACAUGAUGUGGUGAGCACUGCCUGUGCAGCUGGGAUGCUUAUUAGCCAUUAUACACCUUGGGGAAUUACGUGUCCUCUUCUGACAGAUCUGCACAUAGAAGUAUGGGCAGUUUGUUCCUGGUAGACCUGCAGGCAAACUUAGAAUCUCCCUGUGCAUCAGCUGACCCAUGGUUAGGCAGGAGUUGGACUCAUGAUGCCUGUGGGUCCCUUCAUACUCAGGAUAUUCUACAGUUCUGUGGUGACUUUCUACAUCCCAAGACAAACAACCAACAUCCAAAAUGAUCUUACUGCUGUGUGUAUUCCCAGACCUUCAGGAAACACUACAAGGGGACACAGUGAGCUCUGUAUGGUGAGAUCAUGGAAUCACUGAGGUUGGAAAAGGCCUCUAAGAUCACCAAAUCCAACCCCAACCCAUCCC
ensembl:lncRNA